AACGAACGCUGGCGGCAGGCCUAACACAUGCAAGUCGAACGGACGUAGCAAUACGUUAGUGGCUCACGGGAGAGUAACGCGUGGGAACCUACCUUUUGGUUCGGGAUAACGUCGGGAAACUGGUGCUAAUACCGGAUAAGCCCUUCGGGGGAAAGAUUUAUUGCCGAAAGAUGGGCCCGCGUUGGAUUAGCUAGUUGGGGAGGUAAUGGCUCACCAAGGCAACGAUCCAUAGCUGGUCUGAGAGGAUGAUCAGCCUCACUGGGACUGAGACGCGGCCCAGACUCCUGCGGGAGGCAGCAGUGGGGAAUAUUGGACAAUGGGGGAAACCCUGAUCCAGCCAUGCCGCGUGAAUGAUGAAGGCCUUCGGGUUGUAAAGUUCUUUUGGUGGGGACGAUGAUGACGGUACCCACAGAAUAAGCUCCGGCUAACUUCGUGCCAGCAGCCGCCGUAA
rnacentral:rRNA from 1 species